CUCAGUAAUUAUUCAUACACUAUUUUACAGAAAUAGUGAGGACAACUAAAAAAUCUUCUUAGAACCAUCACUCCAUACCCCGACUCGAUCCUGCUAUGUUCUCACCUCCUGAGAAGAAAAAUGGAACAAAAAGGAAAAGGGUGAGCUCAACUAGCCCAGUAAAGAAUAUUAUGACUAAGAUAAUAUACAACAAAUUAUCGUUAGUCUUCAACAGGGAAAAAUCUAAUAGAAUACAAUAGACAACAAGUUUUAGAUCAACAAAUGCAGCGGAAACAGCAAUCCAUUAGAAGAGUCACGUAGAGAAAGAAUUCUACUGUCUUCUAAGGUUUAAAAGUCCAUCAUCAAUAUUUUAUCCCUGUAACAACAAUCAAUAUUCAUCUUUGCACUACAGGCCAAAGAUAUUCAUUUAAAUCACCAGUUGGUCAUGUUCAUCUCAACACCUGUUCAUCUUUGCACUACAGGCCAAAGAUAUUCAUCAGUUAAUCGUUCAUCUUUGCACUACAGGCCAAAGAUAUUCAUCAAGUAUCACCAUUAAGGACCGAGGAUGAUGAAAAAUAUUUUUAAGAACGAAUCCAGUGAGAUAGAAGGACAAAUAUUAGGGAUUCGUACAACAGUUUAUCCAAGAUCGAUAAUACUUCAUAAUAAACGAUUUUGAAGCAGAACUCAAAAAUAACGAUCAAAACAUGGAUACAAUCAAAGAUAGUAGCCAAAAUAGACAUCUUGGACAAAAAGAAAAAAUUUCAUUUUUCGGUGAAUAGUGUCGUAUUCGUGAAUAGUGCUGUAUACGUGAAUAGUGCCGUAUACGUGAACAGUAACCCCGACACAACAAGUUCCAAAUUUGAUAAAAAUUUUAACAAAUAUUUUGGCAUAAUGAUAUUGAAGAAAAUAAUAUCAUUUGCGAAAGAAAUAACAUCCCUUACCUCAAAAUAACCGUACUUCUGACUGAAUUUCGGUAUAGUGCUGACAGAAACUCGCACCGUAUAGCAACACUCAAAAUAUACUCACAAGAAUACGCUCGAUAAUAUAGAGAGAGAAAGAGAGAAAACUU
rnacentral:lncRNA from 1 species